rnacentral:rRNA from 1 species
UGGGGAAUAUUGGACAAUGGGCGCAAGCCUGAUCCAGCCAUGCCGCGUGAGUGAUGAAGGCCCUAGGGUUGUAAAGCUCUUUCACCGGUGAAGAUAAUGACGGUAACCGGAGAAGAAGCCCCGGCUAACUUCGUGCCAGCAGCCGCGGUAAUACGAAGGGGGCUAGCGUUGUUCGGAUUUACUGGGCGUAAAGCGCACGUAGGCGGACUAUUAAGUCAGGGGUGAAAUCCCGGGGCUCAACCCCGGAACUGCCUUUGAUACUGGUAGUCUUGAGUUCGAGAGAGGUGAGUGGAAUUCCGAGUGUAGAGGUGAAAUACGUAGAUGUUCGGAGGAACACCAGUGGCGAAGGCGGCUCACUGGCUCGAUACUGACGCUGAGGUGCGAAAGCGUGGGGAGCAAACAGG